GCGGGUGUGGCGAAAUUGGUAGACGCACUAGACUUAGGAUCUAGCGGGUAACCAUGGGGGUUCGAGUCCCUCCACCCGCA
rnacentral:tRNA from 1 species